rnacentral:rRNA from 1 species
AAUGGGGGAAACCCUGACGCAGCAACGCCGCGUGAAGGAUGAAGGUUUUCGGAUUGUAAACUUCUUUGACGAGGGACGAUAAUGACGGUACCUCGAAAACAAGCCACGGCUAACUACGUGCCAGCAGCCGCGGUAAUACGUAGGUGGCAAGCGUUGUCCGGAUUUACUGGGCGUAAAGAGUAUGUAGGCGGAUAUUUAAGUCAGAUGUGAAAUUCCCGGGCUUAACCUGGGAGCUGCAUUUGAUACUGGAUAUCUAGAGUGCAGGAGAGGAAAGUGGAAUUCCUAGUGUAGCGGUGAAAUGCGUAGAGAUUAGGAAGAACACCAGUGGCGAAGGCGACUUUCUGGACUGUAACUGACGCUGAGAUACGAAAGCGUGGGGAGCAAA